AGGAAACUGUUAACACAGGCGGAUGAUGAAAAGGUUAGCGUACAAGGGCUCAAUUGGCAAUGACCCCUGGGAAGUGAAGGGGAUAAGGGAGGUUGAAGGCGAAAAUUAAUGAUGGCCAAUCUUGCAAUUCCAUCUCUCUAUACUGAAGACAGAUGGUCAGGAAGAGCUUCAUAAAAAACAGUGAAAUUCACACUAUGAAGAGAAAAUGCUGAAUGCUCAAAAGAACAAAGGAAAAAGAAUGAAAAAAGAAAUAGGCAAGAUAGUUGAUAUCUGUGUGAGGGACAAUCUGGUAGGACAUUUUGUAAUCAUACAAGAAGUAAAAAUUCCCAAUAUAUUUUUAAAGAUUUUAGUUACUUGUAAUAGCAAAUGUAAGCAUUUAAAA